rnacentral:rRNA from 1 species
UACGUAGGGAGCAAGCGUUGUUCGGAUUUACUGGGCGUAAAGGGCGCGUAGGCGGCAAAUUAAGUCAGCUGUGAAAUCUCCGAGCUUAACUCAGAACGGUCAGCUGAUACUGAUCUGCUAGAGUGCGGAAGGGGCAAUCGGAAUUCUUGGUGUAGCGGUGAAAUGCGCAGAUAUCGGGAGGAACACCUAUGGCGAAGGCAGCUCGCUGGGACGUUACUGACGCUGAGACGCGAAAGCGUGGGGAGCAAACAGG